rnacentral:rRNA from 1 species
CCCCGCGGCGAUAGCACGUUGAAUACACCAGUUCCCCACGGAUCACUGAAGUUAAGCAACGUUGCGCGUGGUUAGUACCUGGAUGGUGACCAUCUGGGGAAUUCGCUUUCUGCUGGGU